GACGAACGCUGGCGGCGCGCCUAACACAUGCGAGUCGAACGGAGCUGCGAGAAGCUUGCUUUUCUUAGCUUAGUGGCGAACGGGUGAGUAACGCGUGAGUAACCUGCCCUGGAGUGGGGGACAACAGUUGGAAACGACUGCUAAUACCGCAUAAGCCCACGAUCCGGCAUCGGAUUGAGGGAAAAGGAUUUAUUCGCUUCAGGAUGGACUCGCGUCCAAUUAGCUAGUUGGUGAGGUAACGGCCCACCAAGGCGACGAUUGGUAGCCGGACUGAGAGGUUGAACGGCCACAUUGGGACUGAGACACGGCCCAGACUCCUACGGGAGGCAGCAGUGGGGGAUAUUGCACAAUGGGGGAAACCCUGAUGCAGCGACGCCGCGUGGAGGAAGAAGGUUUUCGGAUUGUAAACUCCUGUCGUUAGGGACGAUAAUGACGGUACCUAACAAGAAAGCACCGGCUAACUACGUG
rnacentral:rRNA from 1 species